rnacentral:tRNA from 2 species
CGGAGCGUAGCGCAGUCUGGUAGCGCGCCUGGUUUGGGACCAGGAUGUCGCAGGUUCGAAUCCUGCCGCUCCGACCA